rnacentral:rRNA from 1 species
GACGAACGCUGGCGGCGUGCCUAAUACAUGCAAGUCGAGCGAAUGGAUUAAGAGCUUGCUCUUAUGAAGUUAGCGGCGGACGGGUGAGUAACACGUGGGUAACCUGCCCUUGACUCUGGGAUAACUGCGGGAAACUGUAGCAAAUACCGGAUACGACCCUCGGCGGCAUAGCCAGGUGUUGGAAAGACUUUCGGUCAAGGAUGGACUGGCGGCAUAUCAGCUAGGUUGUGGGGUAACGGCCCACCAAGGCGACGACGGGUAGCCGGCCUGAGAGGGUGACCGGCCACACUGGGACUGAGACACGGCCCAGACUCCUACGGGAGGCAGCAGUGGGGAAUAUUGCACAAUGGGCGCAAGCCUGAUGCAGCAACGCCGCGUGAGGGAUGACGGCCUUCGGGUUGUAAACCUCUUUUAGUAGGGAAGAAGCGAAAGUGACGGUACCUGCAGAAAAAGCACCGGCUAACUACGUGCCAGCCGCCGCUGUAA